ACACUCCGACCCGGCGCGGCCACCCGGCCCCAGCUCGCAGGCCCCACUGCUGCGCCCUCUCGGGGACGCGAAUGCCCCGCGCCGGGCGGGCGCCCGCGGAGGGAGGUCCCGCUCCAGGGACGCGGAGCUCCAGAUGCCUGCGCCCAAGGCCCCUCGCCUGGCGCCGGCUGGUCCCGAACUUCGGGGCAUGGGCACCCAGGAAGGGGGCUGCGCGUGUUGGGAGGCCCGUCCUCUCGCCGCGAACCUCCGGGGCAGCCGGGGAACCCACCUGCGGAGCGGGAAGCCCAGGAACGCUCGAAGAGGGUGUGGCCUCAGGUAGGACGCGGCGGCGAACCCAGAGCGCGGGAGAAGUUGCCAAGUGUCGCUGGGGCCUUGGCCAGGAGCCCCUCUGCCCGAGGGGCGCCGUGCUGCUCAACUCUUUCUCUCCACCUGCUUGGCCCCAGUUCCCGCCCGCCCUUCGCCUCCGGGCCCUGGCCUGGCCACAGCCGCGGGGACCUGCCUGCGGCUCCACGGCCCAGUGGCCGCCUCGCGGAGACCCGACCUGGAGAAUCAGCUGAGCGCCGGCUGUGUGUAAUCACCUCGUUCACUGGCAUCGCAGAUGCACGCUCCAGAGCCGCGGGCCGACUCUCCCGGACCUGAGCGGGCCGCGUGUGCCCACCCACACAUCCUGGAGAGCCCACGCGGGAGUCGGAAAACCUGUCACCUUGGAUGAUCUGUCCCAUGUGGACAGGGCCCCAAGACUGUGCUGGGGUAGCCCCUUGCGCAGGCAGGAAAGCGGGAUUUAAGGGAUUCCAGUUCCCUUGUCAGCCCUUGCGCAGUCCUGAGUCCUGAGGACUUUCUAGCCUGAGAGUCCUAGGGCAGGAGACCCGCACCCCCAGAGCGGCUAGGGCCUGUUUCGGAGCCCCUCCGCCUGUGAUUUUGUCCCAGAGUCGGCAUCCUCUGCUUGUCCUCAGCAGUCCCUGCCUAAGAUCAGAAUGGCCAUUCCAAGGGGCUCACUCCUGGCUGCCCCUGUGCCAUGUUUCUUUUGGGGUACAGGGUGUUUUCUAUACUGGGGGAAGGGACAGGAAUCACUCAUCUCUUCCCCAGAUAAAGAAGUGAGAAGACCUUUGCUCUCCUUGUCUUGGGCCCCCAGAGAAAGGCUGUGUUCUGGCUGAGUGCUGAGGAAGUUCUGGCUUGGAAACUCAGUACAUGUGGACUCCAAAUGGCUGCCGUCAAGUGGUGGCUGGGUGACUGCCAGUGUCACAGAGCGGGGACCAAGGACAGUGCAGGGAUUUUAAAAAUCAUUGUUGGGCACCUCAGACUUCAAUGAUUAACUGAGGUCACUAUGGCCACUUAUUUUUGUUCACUGAUUCUUUAGACGCAUCAAUCUACUCACGGCUCAAUCUUUUGCAUUAUAGGCUGUAUUGGUUUCACACAAUUUACUCUAAGGCGCCCACCUAAUAGAGCUCAGGCAACCCGUGGGAACCUGACAGUCCCAAACAGGUCUGUACCCUGUGUGGCUGCACCACAAGCCCAAUGCCCUCGGCUUUCCUAGGGAAAGCAUGGUGCCAGGUGCAGAUGCUGGCCCUCUGUGCUGUGGGACAGUGGUGUGGGAGCCAGCCAGCUAACCAUACCCUGCUGCCAUCCCCAACAUCCCCAACACAUAUUUAUAUUUAGUUUCUGUUCUCCUCCCCUUACUCUGUCGCCUCCUCCUCCUCCUCUUUGUGUCUUUCCCACGCGGAUUCUUUCUCUUUCCUCUGAGUGGACAAUACUGUAGGCCUGACCCGCUUAGACAAACUCUGACCUCCUGUGGUCACCCAGGAAGCUGACUGCUAGGCCUUGGAUGAGGGGGCAGUGGGAGGGGGACCAGGUGAUACCAGAAUGGCUCCCCCCACAGAUUCGUUACCCAAGGACAUGGGUACACUGGUCGAAUGCUGGCUGCAGAAGCAGAAUGUGCUGCGUGGAGGUGGCAGAGAUUGGUUGCUGAGGAUUUGAAAUGAACCAUGAACCAAAGCUAGAAUGAAAGCAUUAUAUUGUCUAACCUAGAAUCGACACCCUAAAUUAUUUUUACUGAUUCAUGAAUGCAUAUGUGAAUUAUUUUCUUUGACUACAAAUGCCUUAUAUACCCAAAUCACAGCUCCAAGCAGUACUUUUGAACAGAACUACAAUAAAGUAUGAAUGUUAGAUUAUUACCAGAAA
rnacentral:lncRNA from 1 species